CCCGUUUACACGUGCCGGGAGAGAGAAUUUUUGAAGAUUCUCUCUUUCUCUCUCUCUCUCUCCCAGAUUGUACAGUCUCUGCCAAAAUCCGCAAUAGCAAACGGCAGAUGAUCAUCCAAAGAUAAACAGAAAAAAACCUGAAACGCACCGGCGCAGUCUAUUCUUAUGGCGAUACGCCUUCCAGUAUACAUGUAUUUCAGUUGUCCCACUUACCAAUGUAAUUUCAUUAUUAUAUCUAGUAAAAUAAAAGUCAUGUUCAGUUUCGUGAGUAAAUUUAAAAAGAAUACUUUAGGUGAACAUUUUGAAGAAUAAAGACAAUUGAUGAUAAUUUACAUCAAUAAACAUCCAUUGACAGGUUGCAAGAAAAGUACAAUGAACAGCGGGGGUCGAACUCAGGUCGACAGUGUGGUAGCUGGAACGUUGGUUCCUGGUCGUUUAGUCUUAUAUUCUUGGAGUACAGUAUUGUACUAUAUUAACCGUUUGAAUUCCAGGGGUCAUUGAAAAAGCAUUGUCGAAAAAUGUCGACCAGUGCAAUAUCAUUGUCCAUAGCGUUCAAGUGUACUGGGAUUUUUCGAUAUGAAAUUUUAAGCAGCGCGAUCGCGCUGCUGGGGACUCAAACGGUUAGAAGUUUUGCGGCUAUGUCACCCGCAGUCUGCGUCCUGCCCUCGUGAAAGGAACCAUCAUGAAGGGAACAACACUUGAUGCAGAUAUAUAAUAUCAGAACAGAAUAUAAUAUAGGAUUAGAGGAACAAUAUACUUUAUUUAACGAGUUAACAGUUUGAUCAAAAUACUAUUAUAGUUUUUUUUUUAGUUGAACAUUGUAAAAAGACUGUAUUGGCUUAACAGUUGAGGUAGGCAGCAUCAUUGUACUUUCAUCAGUUAUCAAUUUGUAGUAGCUAACAGAAUAGACUGUCUUGUAUAAUCUUUGCAAAUAUUCCCUCUAAUGUAAAAUAUUAUAAAUCUAAUAGCACGCAUGCUGUAAACAGUUGUAUAGUACUGUAAGCUUUAAAUAUAAUGUAUAUAAUAAUAUAUUCUGUAUAGCGUAAUACUAAUAUCUGCAAAUAAAUAUGUAGUAGUAAGUUAAACUAUUA